UAGGGAAUCUUCCGCAAUGGGCGAAAGCCUGACGGAGCAACGCCGCGCGAGUGAUGAAGGUUCUCGGAUCGUAAAACUCUGUUAUUAGGGAAGAACAAAUGUGUAAGUAACUAUGCACGUCUUGACGGUACCUAAUCAGAAAGCCACGGCUAACUACGUGCCAGCAGCCGCGGUAAUACGUAGGUGGCAAGCGUUAUCCGGAAGUAUUGGGCGUAAAGCGCGCGUAGGCGGUUUUUUAAGUCUGAUGUGAAAGCCCACGGCUCAACCGUGGAGGGUCAUUGGAAACUGGAAAACUUAAGUGCAGAAGAGGAAAGUGGAAUUCCAUGUGUAGCGGUGAAAUGCGCAGAGAUAUGGAGGAACACCAGUGGCGAAGGCGACUUUCUGGUCUGUAACUGACGCUGAUGUGCGAAAGCGGGGGGAUCAAACAGG
rnacentral:rRNA from 1 species